GACGAACGCUGGCGGCGUGCUUAACACAUGCAAGUCGAACGGUAAGGCCCUUCGGGGUACACGAGUGGCGAACGGGUGAGUAACUCGUGGGUGAUCUGCCCUGCACUUCGGGAUAAGCCUGGUAAACUGGGUCUAAUAGCGGAUAGGACCCUGGGAUGCAUGUCCUGGGGUGGAAAGCGUUUGCGGUGUGGGAUGGGCCCGCGGCCUAUCAGCUUGUUGGUGGGGUAACGGCUCACCAAGGCUAAGACGGGUAGCUAGUCUGAGAGGAUGUUUAGCCACACUGGGACUGAGACACUGCCCAGACUCCUACGGGAGGCAGCAGUGGGGAAUAUUGCACAAUGGGAGCAAGCCUGAUGCAGCGACGCCGCGUGAGGGAUGACGGCCUUCGGGUUGUAAACCUCUUUCAGCACCGACGAAGCGCAAGUGACGGUAGGUGCAGAAGAAGGACCGGCCAACUACGUGCCAGCCGCCGCCGUAA
rnacentral:rRNA from 1 species